GUGCAUGAUUUGGACGCUAAAUUUAAAAUUCGACGCUGAAAAAUAAAAUUACCUGUUUCUGCAUACAUGAUUUGGACGCUGGGUCUAAUUGAAAUGUAAAUGGAAAGUCAGGUAAUAAAAUUCUAGAGAUUAAGCUUGAUAAGGUUUAUUUGUCACUUUGAAAUAAAUACGACAUACAUUUUACGAAAUGGUAUAGAUCGAUACAGUUAGUUUGAUACUCAUGUAUCCUAUCUCUAACAAACAUAACUUUUUUUCUACUCUUUGGAUCUUUAAGUCUAUUACUUUCAUGGACACUAUUAAUUUUAAUGUAAGUUUCAGUUUGAAAAUUUU
rnacentral:lncRNA from 1 species